GGUCAGUUCUCGGUGAUGCACCCUGGAAUCGGCUCCCUCCUCUCUGGUUCAGGGUGUGUCACCCGAGAACCACC
rfam:Myotis brandtii contig182434, whole genome shotgun sequence.